rnacentral:rRNA from 1 species
CUGGUUGAUCCUGCCAGUGGUCAUAUGCUUGUCUCAAGGAUUAAGCCAUGCAUGUCUCAGUGUAAGCUUUUAUACGGUGGAACUGCGAAUGGCUCAUUAAAACAGUUAUAGUUUAUUUGAUGGUCACUCACUACUUGGAUAACCGUGGUAAUUCUAGAGCUAAUACAUGCGCCCAAAACCCGACUUCGCGGAAGGGUUGUGUUUAUUAGAUACAGAACCAACCUAGGCUCUGCCUGGUUUUGUGGUGAUUCAUAAUAACCGAACGAAUCGCAUGGCGUCAGCCGGCGAUGAAUCAUUCAAGUUUCUGACCUAUCAGGCCUCCGACGGUAGGGUAUUGGCCUACCGCGGCAUUGACGGGUAACGGAGACUUAGGGUUCGAUUCCGGAGAGGGAGCCUGAGAAACGGCCUACCACAUCUAAGGAAGGCAGCAGGGCGCGCAAAUUACCCAAUCCUGACACAGGGAGGUAGUGACAAGAAAUAACAAUGCAGAGCAUCCAUGU